CCAGAGGACAAGAGCUACCAGACCUUUCUGUGGAAACACUGCUUCAACAAGACCACUUCUUCUGGACUGCUACCACCACAGUUUCAGUGAAGCUCCUCUCUUGUCAUCCUCUUCCUGUUUGGAAUAUGAAGAGUAUUUUUUCAGGAGCAGUAACAAUUUCCUGGAGACCUUUCAGAGGAAAUGAUCAGAGUGGGAAAUCUUACAUGAGUCCAGAGAUUGGUCAGUGAGAAGAUGGAGAAACCAAGUGAUAAGGUGGACCACACAAAGCCCCUUAUUUCCUCUGUGUGCCCUACACCACCCCUGAAGAGUCCCAGCCUGCAGCAGAGGCUUGGCUGCGCCUGGGGACUUCCCACAUCCUAAUGCCAGUCUGGAAACCUUAGACUGCCUCACACAGAGUCCUGGCUGCUGUCUGCUUGCUUGUCCCCAUCUCACCCCUGCCCUCAAAAUGCCUGCAGAAUGCCUGUUGAAAUGAAGAGUACUAAGGAGGUGCUGAAGGUCUAAAAUUCCACCUCUCCAAGGUAUUUUCUGCUUUUCGGGUGAAUUGCACUGAAGAUUUCUGACAUCCAUUUGAAGGCUUCAUGCAGGAAAGAUGAAAUUGCAAACCUGUAUAUUUCCUGAACCUUGAUCUCAUCCUGUCUGCUAUUGAAAUAUAUGACCCAAAAGCGCUUCCCUAUGAAUUAGGCACUUAUCAUGCAUUUUAACCUUCUUGGAGAAAAUUAUGCAGGUCUCUGAGUUGCCUGCAUGAGUUAUCUUUUAUU